AAUGAUUCCGCAUGGUUUCAUUAUUAAAGGAUUCCGGUAAAGGAUGGGGAUGCGUUCCAUUAGGUUGUUGGUGAGGUAACGGCUCACCAAGCCUUCGAUGGAUAGGGGUUCUGAGAGGAAGGUCCCCCACAUUGGAACUGAGACACGGUCCAAACUCCUACGGGAGGCAGCAUG
rnacentral:rRNA from 1 species